rnacentral:rRNA from 1 species
GAUGAACGCUGACAGAAUGCUUAACACAUGCAAGUCAACUGUGGCGGACGGGUGAGUAACGCGUAAGGAACUUGCCUCACAGUUAGGGACACCAUUUGGAAACGAAUGCUAAUACCUGACACUGUGAGAGAGCUUUGCGUCCCAUUAGCUAGUUGGUGAGGUAACGGCUCACCAAGGCGAUGAUGGGUAGCCGGCCUGGGAGGGUGAUCGGCCACAAGGGGACUGAGACACAGCCCUUACUCCUACGGGAGGAAGGAGUGGAGAAUAUUGGACAAUGGACCAAAGUCUGAGCCAGCAAUUCUGUGGGCACGAUGAAGUUUUCGGAAUGUAAAGUGCUGUCAGUUGGGAAGCGGUACCAACAGAAGAAGUGACGGCUAAAUACGUGCCAGCAGCCGCGGUAAUAC